rnacentral:miRNA from 12 species
AGAGGUUAUCCGUGUUUCUUCG